rnacentral:ncRNA from 1 species
CUGGUUCCGGUUCACGUCCCACGCGCACCAGCGCGGUACGGGCGACCCGGCGACU